CACGUAGGGCGCGAGCGUUGUCCGGAAUUAUUGGGCGUAAAGAGCUCGUAGGCGGCCUGUUGCGUCCGCUGUGAAAGCCCGGGCUUAACCCCGGGUCCUGCAGUGGAUACGGGCAGGCUAGAGGUAGGUAGGGGAGAAUGGAAUUCCCGGUGUAGCGGUGAAAUGCGCAGAUAUCGGGAGGAACACCGGUGGCGAAGGCGGUUCUCUGGGCCUUACCUGACGCUGAGGAGCGAAAGCGUGGGGAGCGAACAGG
rnacentral:rRNA from 1 species